GUUAAUGUUAAAAAAUUAUCCAUUUCUAUGUUUUGAAAAUAAAAAGCUUAAGUAAAAAAUAAGGAAAAUAAAAAAAGGAUGGGGGCUUAGCACUCCCAAAUCUAAAAGUAUAAUAUAAGCAGCAGUUCUCAAAACCAUUUGCUCUUAGCUAACAGAGUGGUGGAUCAGAGGAAUAGAUUCCAGUGAUCAAGACCUAUAGUUAUGCAAUAUUUGAUAAAGCCCCAAACUCCAGCUUCUGGUAUAAAAACUCACUAUUUCAUAAUAAAUCUCAAGGAAAAGUAGAAAAUCACAUCCUAGAAACUUGGCUGCAACCCAUGGUGUGUGCAUCUCACACCCCAUGCCAAAGUAUGGUCAAAAUGGAAAAGAUCUCCACUGAAACCAGAAGUGGUUUGAGAGCCCUGCCCUGGGGCCUCUGAGAAAAAGUCUAUCUGGCAGGGGAGGCAGGCUUCCUGGGAGCAGGUGUUCCAAGAGAGGGCUGCGGGGGAGGGGUGGUCCUCAGCACCAUCAGGCUUUCCUUGGGUACAUAUUGGCCAAGCUGACAAACCGGCCUAAUGAUUGCUGCCAGCUUGUGUCCAGGGAGGACGCAGGUUGGACACAGGGAGUGGAGGCUGUUCUUUCCCGAGGGAGCAGCUUGUUGCACGUCAAAGAGAACUGGAUGCUGGCUUGCCUGUGGGAGUGGAACUUGGCCAGAGGGAGUUGAAAGCCCCCAGAGGGGGGAAAGAUGAUGUGCCCUCUCCUUAUUUAGCAUGGGGCUGUCCCUGGGAACUCUGAGAAGGUGUCUAAGAGUCAGGGAGCUUGGAGAGCAGGGCUGUCAUGCCUAAGGCUUUCCCCACAGCUGGGUCUGGGGAAAUUGUGGUCCUAUGGCUACUUUGUGCACCUUCUUCAAAAUGUCUGGAGCAGCUGAAUAAUCACACACAUGUUGAGGACAGGAAUCCUAUCAAGAAAAGGGGGGUUCAGACUUGGCCCCACUCUUCUGUGGCAGAAGCCUCUCCCCACAGGCCAAGGUUUCCCCAGCCAACGAGUUUUGCCCUUAUGGGAAAAGGGUCCCCCAAACUCCAGGGCAAACAGUCCAACUGAAUGUGAUCACUGUACAGAGAUGGCUCCCGUGAAAACCACAAGCCAGUGCCCACAGGCCUCUGCGCUCCUCUUCUCCAGGCCAUCUCCCAGCAUUUCCCCUCAUAACUUGAGGGAAUAGAUAGAUGUUGGCUAUGCCAAAGAGCAUUUACCUCCCCUGCAAGGCCAGGCCAAAAGGGGAGCCACCCCUGCCCUCUCUAUCUCCCCUUACCCAAUUUGGAGCCCCUGCCUGCCAUAGGCUUUAGAGAGUACACCACAGCCCCAGGCCCAAGAGGCUCUCGACCUUCUCCC
rnacentral:lncRNA from 1 species